rnacentral:pre_miRNA from 1 species
CCUUGACGGGCGAGUUUUCACGUUUGGGCGAACUCCAGUAUGUAGGCGAGUUUUAACCCUUCGUUCGAACGGGCGGGUUCGCGAGGUGUCGCCUACUUCUUCGCCUUUAUGUUUAUCCGCCAAAGGGCUAUGGCGAGGCUCGCCAGCCCUUGGGGAUUCGCCUAUUCGGGUAGGCUCGCUCGCUCAGGGU